AGCGGGGCCCAUCCCGUAAGGCUAAAUACUCCCGAGAGACCGAUAGCGAACCAGUACUGUGAAGGAAAGGUGAAAAGCACCUCGAACAGAGGAGUGAAAUAGUCCCUGAAACCGUCUGCCUACAAGCGGUCGGAGCAACGUAAGUUGUGACGGCGUGCCUUUUGCAUAAUGAACCUACGAGUUACUUUCUCCGGCAAGGUUAAGGGCUUCAGGCCCGGAGCCGAAGCGAAAGCGAGUCUUAAUAGGGCGUGAUAGUCGGAGUGAGUAGACGCGAAACCAAGUGAUCUACCCUUGGUCAGGAUGAAGGUUGGGUAACACCAACUGGAGGUCCGAAUGGGUAUACGUUGAAAAGUGUUCCAAUGAACUGAGGGUAGGGGUGAAAGGCUAAUCAAACUUGGAGAUAGCUCGUACUCCCCGAAAUGCAUUUAGGUGCAGCCUUUAUUUAGUAUAGCAUGAGGUAGAGCGACUGAUUGGAUGCGAGGGCUUCACCGCCUAUCAAGUCCAGAUAAACUCCGAAUGCGUGCUAUAUAUUGAUAAGGAGUGAGGGCGCGGGUGCUAAGGUCCGCGUCCGAGAGGAGAAGAAUCCAGACCAUCAGCUAAGGUCCCCAAAUAACAGUUAAGUUGAACUAACGAAGUCGGACUGCAGAGACAGCUAGGAUGUUGGCUUGGAAGCAGCCAUUCAUUUAAAGAGUGCGUAACAGCUCACUAGUCGAGGAGUCCGGCGUGGAUAAUACUCGGGCAUAAACUGUUUACCGAAGCUAUGGAUGUGUAAACACAUGGUAGGGGAGCAUUCCAACGGCGUCGAAGGUGAAGGAUGACCUUUGCUGGAGCUUUUGGAAACGCAAAUGUAGGUAUAAGUAACGAUAAAGGAGGUGAGAAACCUCCUCGCCGAAAGACUAAGGUUUCCUGAUCAACGUUAAUCGGAUCAGGGUAAGUCGGGACCUAAGGUUAAGCCGAACGGCGAUACCGAUGGAAGAAUGGUUUAAUAUUCCCAUACUACUUUAUGGAGCGAUGUGGAGACGGAGAAGUGACAGUCCUGCCAUCUGACGGAAUAGGUGGUUGAAGAGUGUAGAUGUAGAUUCCUGUAGGCAAAUCCGCAGGGAGAGUCGACCUUGACAGUAUGCCGCGUGCUUGCACAAGGCAAAAUGGACGUAAUCAGGCUCCCAAGAAAAUCCGCUAAGCAUAUUCAUAAAGUACCCGUACCGUAAACGGACACACGUAGUUGGGUUGAAAAUACUGAGGCGCUCGAGUGAUUCACGGUUAAGGAACUAGGCAAAUUGACCCUGUAACUUCGGGAUAAAGGGUCCCUACUGAGAGGUAGGGCGCAGAGAAUAGGUCCAGGCAACUGUUUAACAAAAACACAUGGCUGUGCGAAAUAGAAAUAUGAAGUAUACAGCCUGACACCUGCCCGGUGCUGGAAGGUUAAGAGGAGAGCUCAUCGCAAGAGAAGGCUUGAAUUGAAGCCCCAGUAAACGGCGGCCGUAACUAUAACGGUCCUAAGGUAGCGAAAUUCCUUGUCGGGUAAGUUC
rnacentral:rRNA from 1 species